rnacentral:rRNA from 1 species
GCGGAGGAAAAGAAAGCAACAGCGAUAGCCUCAGUAACGGCGAGUGAAGCGGCUACAGCUCAAAUUUGAAAUCUGGCCUCCUUUGGGGGUCCGAGUUGUAAUUUGCAGAGGAUGCUUUGGCAUUGGCGGCGGUCUAAGUUCCUUGGAACAGGACAUCGCAGAGGGUGAGAAUCCCGUACGUGGGCGCCUGCCUUUGCCGUGUAAAGCUCCUUCGACGAGUCGAGUUGUUUGGGAAUGCAGCUCUAAAUGGGAGGUAAAUUUCUCCUAAAGCUAAAUACCGGCCAGAGACCGAUAGCGCACAAGUAGAGUGAUCGAAAGAUGAAAAGUACUUUGGAAAGAGAGUCAAAUAGCACGUGAAAUUGUUGAAAGGGAAGCGCUUGCAGCCAGACUUGCCCGCAGUUGCUCACCUAGGCUUUCGCCUGGGGCACUCUUCUGCGGGCAGGCCAGCAUCAGUUUGGGCGGUCGGAUAAAGGCCUCUGUCAUGUACCACCCCUCGGGGUGGCCUUAUAGGGGAGGCGUAAUGCGACCAGCCCGGACUGA